AACGAACGCUGGCGGCAGGCCUAACACAUGCAAGUCGAGCGAAGCCUUCGGGCUUAGCGGCGGACGGGUGAGUAACGCGUGGGAACGUGCCCUUUGGUACGGAAUAGCCCCGGGAAACUGGGAGUAAUACCGUAUGUGGUCGAGAGACGAAAGAUUUAUCGCCAAAGGAUCGGCCCGCGUUGGAUUAGGUAGUUGGUGUGGUAAUGGCCUACCAAGCCGACGAUCCAUAGCUGGUUUGAGAGGAUGAUCAGCCACACUGGGACUGAGACACGGCCCAGUCUCCUACGGGAGGCAGCAGUGGGGAGUCUUAGACAAUGGGCGAAACCCUGAUCUAGCCAUGCCGCGUGAUCGAUGAAGGCCUUAGGGUUGUAAAGAUCUUUCAGUGGGGAAGAUAAUGACUGUACCCACAGAAGAAGCCCCGGCUAACUCCGUGCCAGCCGCCGCGGUAACAC
rnacentral:rRNA from 1 species